GUGCUCGCUUCAGCAGCAUAUAUACUAAAAUUGAAAAGAUGCAGAGAAGAUUAGUGUGGCCCCUGCUCAAGGAUGACACACAAAUUAGUGAAGCCCAAGUAACCAGC
rnacentral:snRNA from 1 species